GCCUGUGGGACAUCAUAUGCAAUUCUAGGUCUGGACUUCUUGACACCGGCUGUAAACCACACCUUAUCAGACUUGUAUCCCUCGACUGCCACACUUGUGACCUUAACCCAUACAAGGACCUUCGUCUUCAUUCCCUCUAUACCUGUGAGCUUUCCUCUCAUGAGGAUUGCUUUUACUCGAGUUGCAUACCUCAAUAAACAAGAGUCCUUGAAGCUGACCUCACAUACAGAAGGCAAGUACACAAUCAGCUUCGCCUUCGACUCAUCAAAUUCAUAACAGGUUAUGUUCUGGGGAAAGAGGCCAGGUGGUAAGUUGUACUCUCGAAGCAGAUCUGGCAAGCUCUUCAGUGGCUUUCCUUUCAGCUUGUUGAAAAUCCAUUUUGCCUUCUCUUCAACAGUAUUUGAGAAAGUAGUGAUGUCUUCAGAAAUGUUAGAGAGCUCUUCCUUGGCUUUCCUUGAGAUCCAAGAGCUCCCAACUUUUAAGCUGCUUACUUUGG
rnacentral:misc_RNA from 1 species